GUAGAAGAUGGCAGCGCUGAGCA
rnacentral:piRNA from 1 species